rnacentral:rRNA from 1 species
GCAGAGCAUCCUACGGGAGGCAGCAUUGGGGAAUAUUGCACAAUGGGCGCAAGCCUGAUGCAGCCAUGCCGCGUGUAUGAAGAAGGCCUUCGGGUUGUAAAGUACUUUCAGCAGUGAGGAAGGUGGGUAUGUUAAUAGCAUAUUCAUUUGACGUUAGCUGCAGAAGAAGCACCGGCUAACUCCGUGCCAGCAGCCGCGGUAAUACGGAGGGUGCGAGCGUUAAUCGGAAUUACUGGGCGUAAAGCGCAUGCAGGUGGUUUGUUAAGUCAGAUGUGAAAGCCCGGGGCUCAACCUCGGAAUUGCAUUUGAAACUGGCAAACUAGAGUACUGUAGAGGGGGUAGAAUUUCAGGUGUAGCGGUGAAAUGCGUAGAGAUCUGAAGGAAUACCGGUGGCGAAGGCGGCCCCCUGGACAGAUACUGACACUCAGAUGCGAAAGCGUGGGGAGCAAACAGGAUUAGAUACCCUGGUAG